GGGGCUGGGGCUCAGUGGUAGAGCACUUGCCUGGCAUGUGUGAGGCACUGGGUUCGAUCCUCAGCACCA
rnacentral:tRNA from 1 species